rnacentral:rRNA from 1 species
CGGGAGGCAGCAGUGGGGAAUAUUGCACAAUGGGCGCAAGCCUGAUGCAGCGACGCCGCGUGAGGGAUGACGGCCUUCGGGUUGUAAACCUCUUUCAGCAGGGAAGAAGCGUGAGUGACGGUACCUGCAGAAGAAGCGCCGGCUAACUACGUGCCAGCAGCCGCGGUAAUACGUAGGGCGCAAGCGUUGUCCGGAAUUAUUGGGCGUAAAGAGCUCGUAGGCGGCUUGUCGCGUCGGAUGUGAAAGCCCGGGGCUUAACUCCGGGUCUGCAUUCGAUACGGGCAGGCUAGAGUUCGGUAGGGGAGAUCGGAAUUCCUGGUGUAGCGGUGAAAUGCGCAGAUAUCAGGAGGAACACCGGUGGCGAAGGCGGAUCUCUGGGCCGAUACUGACGCUGAGGAGCGAAAGCGUGGGGAGCGAACAGGAUUAGAUACCCUGGUAGUCCACGCCGUAAACGUUGGGAACUAGGUGUGGGCGACAUUCCACGUUGUCCGUGCCGCAGCUAACGCAUUAAGUUCCCCGCCUGGGGAGUACGGCCGCAAGGCUAAAACUCAAAGGAAUUGACGGGGGCCCGCACAAGCGGCGGAGCAUGUGGCUUAAUUCGACGCAACGCGAAGAACCUUACCAAGGCUUGACAU